AUUGAACGCUGGCGGCAGGCCUAACACAUGCAAGUCGAGCGGAUGAAGGGAGCUUGCUCCUGGAUUCAGCGGCGGACGGGUGAGUAAUGCCUAGGAAUCUGCCUGGUAGUGGGGGAUAACGUCCGGAAACGGGCGCUAAUACCGCAUACGUCCUGAGGGAGAAAGUGGUGGUUCUUCGGACCUCACGCUAUCAGAUGAGCCUAGGUCGGAUUAGCUAGUUGGUGGGGUAAAGGCCUACCAAGGCGACGAUCCGUAACUGGUCUGAGAGGAUGAUCAGUCACACUGGAACUGAGACACGGUCCAGACUACUACGGGAGGCAGCAGUGGGGAAUAUUGGAAAAUGGGCGAAAGCCUGAUACAGAAAUGCCGAGUGUGUGAAGAAGGUCUUCGGAUUGUAAAGCACUUUAAGGUGGGAGGAAGGGAAGUAAGUUAAUACCUUGAUGUUUUGACGUUACCAACAGAAUAAGCACCGGCUAACUUCGUG
rnacentral:rRNA from 1 species